CUCUCGAGGAGGCGGCAGGUCAAGCCGGUCAAGAGGCUCGGGUUACAACCGAGGACAAGGCAGAGCAGGGUACAACAGAUACCAGCAGAAUUAUUAGAUUUUGAUUGGGAGAGUUUUACAGAAGUUGGAGGACGAUCAGAAGUGGUUUGACUUUCAUCGAUGGACGGAUUUACGAGUACCCGGAUACAGUCUCAGGAUUAUUCUUAAAAAUGAUUGCACAGGAGGAACAUGGUCACAGUGACAUAUUUUUGCGUGUUAGUGUUAGUGAACGAUGAACUGUAUAGACUGUGGUGUGUUCUUUAUGAC